AGUGCAGUAGGGGAGACUGGAAUUCCUGGUGUAGCGGUGGAAUGCGCAGAUAUCAGGAGGAACACCGAUGGCGAAGGCAGGUCUCUGGGCUGUAACUGACGCUGAGGAGCGAAAGCAUGGGGAGCGAACAGGAUUAGAUACCCUGGUAGUCCAUGCCGUAAACGUUGGGCACUAGGUGUGGGGACCAUUCCACGGUUUCCGCGCCGCAGCUAACGCAUUAAGUGCCCCGCCUGGGGAGUACGGCCGCAAGGCUAAAACUCAAAGGAAUUGACGGGGGCCCGCACAAGCGGCGGAGCAUGCGGAUUAAUUCGAUGCAACGCGAAGAACCUUACCAAGGCUUGACAUGUUCUCGAUCGCCGUAGAGAUACGGUUUCCCCUUUGGGGCGGGUUCACAGGUGGUGCAUGGUUGUCGUCAGCUCGUGUCGUGAGAUGUUGGGUUAAGUCCCGCAACGAGCGCAACCCUCGUUCCAUGUUGCCAGCACGUCGUGGUGGGGACUCAUGGGAGACUGCCGGGGUCAACUCGGAGGAAGGUGAGGACGACGUCAAAUCAUCAUGCCCCUUAUGUCUUGGGCUUCACGCAUGCUACAAUGGCCGGUACAAUGGGUUGCGAUACUGUGAGGUGGAGCUAAUCCCAAAAAGCCGGUCUCAGUUCGGAUUGGGGUCUGCAACUCGACCCCAUGAAGUCGGAGUCGCUAGUAAUCGCAGAUCAGCAACGCUGCGGUGAAUACGUUCCCGGGCCUUGUACACACCGCCCGUCAAGUCACGAAAGUU
rnacentral:rRNA from 1 species